AAGCCUCAAGUGAUGUGGGACCACCCCCUGAAUUUUAAACAUAAA
rnacentral:rRNA from 1 species